AGCUUGCUCCCUUAGGUCAGCGGCGGACGGGUGAGUAACACGUGGGUAACCUGCCUGUAAGACUGGGAUAACUCCGGUGAAACCGGGGCUAAUACCGGAUGCUUGAUUGAACCGCAUGGUUCAAUCAUAAAAGGUGGCUUUCAGCUACCACUUACAGAUGGACCCGCGGCGCAUUAGCUAGUUGGUGAGGUAACGGCUCACCAAGGCGACGAUGCGUAGCCGACCUGAGAGGGUGAUCGGCCACACUGGGACUGAGACACGGCCCAGACUCCUACGGGAGGCAGCAGUAGGGAAUCUUCCGCAAUGGACGAAAGUCUGACGGAGCAACGCCGCGUGAGUGAUGAAGGUUUUCGGAUCGUAAAACUCUGUUGUUAGGGAAGAACAAGUACCGUUCGAAUAGGGCGGCACCUUGACGGUACCUAACCAGAAAGCCACGGCUAACUACGUGCCAGCAGCCGCGGUAAUACGUAGGUGGCAAGCGUUGUCCGGAAUUAUUGGGCGUAAAGCGCGCGCAGGCGGUUUCUUAAGUCUGAUGUGAAAGCCCCCGGCUCAACCGGGGAGGGUCAUUGGAAACUGGGGAACUUGAGUGCAGAAGAGGAGAGUGGAAUUCCACGUGUAGCGGUGAAAUGCGUAGAGAUGUGGAGGAACACCAGUGGCGAAGGCGACUCUCUGGUCUGUAACUGACGCUGAGGCGCGAAAGCGUGGGGA
rnacentral:rRNA from 1 species